rnacentral:rRNA from 1 species
GAUCAUGGCUCAGGAUGAACGCUAGCGGCAGGCUUAACACAUGCAAGUCGAGGGGCAACGCGAGUAGCAAUACUUGGCGGCGACCGGCGCAAGGGUGCGUAACGCGUGAGCAACAUGCCCGUAUCAGGGGGAUAAUCCAGGGAAACUUGGUCUAAUACCCCAUAGUAAUUUUGUAAGGCAUCUUAUAAGAUUUAAAGCUUUGGUGGAUACGGAUUGGCUCGCGUGACAUUAGCUGGAUGGUAAGGUAACGGCUUACCAUGGCUAUGAUGUCUAGGGGUUCUGAGAGGAAGGUCCCCCACACUGGAACUGAGACACGGUCCAGACUCCUACGGGAGGCAGCAGUGAGGAAUAUUGGACAAUGGAUGGAAAUCUGAUCCAGCCAUGCCGCGUGAAAAGGAAGAAGGUCCUAUGGAUUGUAAACUUCUUUUGUAUGGGAGCAAUAAGGCCUACGAGUAGGUUGAUGAGAGUACCAUACGAAUAAGCACCGGCUAACUCCGUGCCAGCCGCGGC